rnacentral:rRNA from 1 species
UUGAUUACGUCCCUGCCCUUUGUACACACCGCCCGUCGCUGCCCGGGACUGAGCCAUUUCGAGAAACUUGGGGACCGCUGGCUGGCUGCCUCCGGGUGGACUUUUGGUGGAAACCAAUUUAAUCGCAGUGGCUUGAACCGGGCAAAAGUCGUAACAAGGUAGCUGUAGGUGAACCUGCUGCUGGAUCAUU